CGACCUCAUGAUCAGACGAAAAUUACCCGCUAAAUUUAAGCAUAUCAAUAAGCGGUGGAAAAAAAAACGAAAACGAAUUCUCCAAGUAGCGGGCGAGCGAAACGAAAAAAAGUCCCUACACCCGAAAGUCGGCGAAGCAAGUUGUGUUCGUCAACAGUGGUGGGUGGUUAAAAGGUGGUCGUUUGCAUGGUGGCUGAAAAUCAGUUUCGAAAGCCUCCCCUUGAUUGGGGGGCUUCCACAAACCGGGUGCAGGACCCCAUUAACCGAACGAAUGUUUUUGUGGGCAUGGUGUCGCGGGGCUCCCUCAAUUCCAGAUCGGGGUUUGCUUUUGAGAACUGCACCCCCAAAGCGGGGGUGGGUAUA
rnacentral:ncRNA from 1 species